UGGCAAUAUCAGGUUGAAACAACGAUUCCCAUACGAUCACCAAAUUUAAGCAAUGUCGAUCCUUGUCUGUACCUCGAUGGGUGACGGCUUGGGAAUACCAGAUGAUGUA